rnacentral:lncRNA from 1 species
UCCCCAGCUGCGUCCUCAGUCCGCACACGCGGUGCGGACAUGUGUAAGCUGUCUACAUUAUGACAAGUGGUAUGUUUCGAGCGGCUGUUUCUUCCGCCGCUCUCAGUCUGUGUCAGAGGAUGCCUUGUGCUUCGCCUGAAGGCACGAGUUAAAGCUCCGCAGGUCUCUGCCGAAUUGCUCCGAGCUGUACACACACUCCAACCUCCUGGGUUUCCGCCGCUGGUGAUGACGACCGAGCCAGAAAAUUCAGCGUUUCUCGGUGACACGAAAGGAAGCGGCGACUGUCGAUUCGUCCAGGCAGCCCAUCUCUUGGGGGAUCCACCGGGUACUUCUGUCGUGGCUGAUGGCGGUGUCGUUAUCUGCCCAGAAGCGAGCAGAGCUCGUGGAGUAGGUCGGACGCUGAGAGGCUCAGACGGGGAUGAAGAGAUCCUGGAAGCUGGCAAGUGAUUCGGUGAUGCCGGUCCGUGCACUCCAGUUGAAGGCACCCGGACGAGAUUGCGGCCCGUCAAACGGGUCGUGGUCUCACCAUUGGUCCGCGGCAAUCGAGACGAAAUUGCCGCGGAGGAACCGAGAGGAAUUUUGCUUGCUUCUGAACACUUGUAAACUCUCGUGACACCGACUGGCGAGGAAGACGAAGGCAGAGAUUUGGUUUCAUCUCCUGGCCUGUGCAAAUUACUCUUUUGCUGAGAGAGUUGUCGAGUGUGUUGUCUCGUGGACGGGUCACUCGAACCGCCAACUGGUGAGCUGAGGCGUGAAACACCAGUUCUUGCUUCCGCAUGCACACCCACAACUGAAAAGGGACUAGCAGGAAAAGUGGCAGAAUCACUGCGGUUGGUAUCAGAUUCGUUUCUUGCUUCACUUGCGAUUCGGGCCACAACACGACGAUAAAUUGGGCGAUCCCGUGCUGAUCGCUGGGUCUGAGUAACGUGAGAAAGUGAACAUGUUUUACAGGCUGCAGCUUGCGCUACACGUGACAGCACUGUCAAAUCGAGGGGCUGAACUGGAGGCUGAUGUUUGUCGUGGCCGGAACCUUUUGGACUAGAGGAGGAGAAGGAUCUCGACAAGAAAGCGGGAGAGCUACUGACAGUUCGGGGGCGAUGGCAUUCCAUAGUCAAGCAAAGGUAUAUUGAGAGGGUGGUCUACACAUAGCGCCUGACGCUGACGUACCAACUGCCCGUCCUGAUCUUUAUGAGUAUCGAAAGCGGUUUGAGCACCAAACAUCGGGCCGGUCAAAACGUAUAGCCCU